rnacentral:lncRNA from 1 species
AGUUUUGCUCUCCAUCAAGAACGUCUCUUACUGGAGGAGUUACUCUAAUAAAAUAGGCUACCUGGCCUCUUUCAGUACCCCCAAAGAGAAUGCUUCCGGGGGGGAAAAAAGCGCACUGUGUUGAUGAGACACACGUGUUGAAUUUCCAAGACACACUUUUCUGAAAUAAUGACCCUUACCUGUGGAAGAGAUGCUUGCAAAAACUUCUUGCAGAGAAGGUAGCAGCGUGGAGGGCUCAGCCUUCCAAAUAUUCUGUAGUAAGGUACUCACUUUCGUUACCUGGGAGACAUACUCCCGUAGUUCCUUCUCCUGAGUGGACACGCACUGGAAAUGACCUAUCGUUCGAACCAGCUGUUGACAGAAGGUAACUGACAGUUUCCCUUUGGGGACGCACUGCACGAAAUCGGUCAGGAGGUCGCUCAGCCGGGCACAGAGCACUGGCUCCGGCCUCUCGCAAACCAUUCGCAGGACCUCCACCUGGAGCAGGCUGAAGAGAUCCAGCACCGACGGGCAGCUCAUAAUCAGCUUCAGGCCGUUGUGAAUGUAGUCCAGGAUGGCGACGUCCUUCCUGUCCACUGAGUGGUAGCCCUGCUGAAGGAGGCCCAACACGAAAGUCUUGUUGAAGAAGGACUCGAACUCCGGCCGGUGGUACCGCGCGUAGGCCUCCAGCACCUGGUGGCCCACUUGUCGCUGGAAAGGGUCCUGGCCCUCCAGGAUGAGGCGGGUCGUCAGGUCAAACAUGGCCUCGCACUGCGCCUCGUCGAGCCAAUGCUCCGCGAACUCCACCACCUUCCGCACAAUCAUCCGCUUGAGGGGCAGCGGGUGCGAGGAGCUCACCAGGCCUUCCAGAAUCUUGUCCAUCGUCGCCACUCUGCAAGGCCAGGCCCUGGGGAUAAAGAGCUGGCAGCGGCAGCCCCGGGGGGCAGCAAAGCGCCCCGGCGGGGAGGAACUUGGAGCCAACCAGCAGCAGGACCGGCCACCGCCACCGCCGCCUCAGCAGCCACAUUUAUCGAGUGGGAAGGCCCAUCCGAGCCGGGACGGGAGCGAGCGAUUCUGGGACGCCGAAAGGGCGGGUCCCCGCGGUCCGCCUCAGGGGCCGGAGGUCCGCAUAAGGCUGCCUCGCUGGGCCCGCGACCUCUCCCAGCCUCCGGGCGCAGGGACCCUCCAGGCUGAGCUGGAAGGUGAGGAGCGCCUUCGUGUCCCGGGUCAGUGCGGAGCCCCGGCUCCCGCGGGUGGGCAGUUAAAAGUCGCCCUGGGUUGAGUCAGGAGGCACUGUCAAUGCGAGUACCUCGAUCUGCCAAGGAGAGGAGCCGGAGGCGCGGAACACCCUGAACCCGGAAGCAGAAAUACUGGCGAAUAGGAAGUGAAGCUCCGAGGAUUAUCUGAAUAGCCAUAUUGCAGCGUCUUCUUUCCCAAGAGUAAUUGUGCCUGCCAACUGCCGUGCCACCUCACCAUUUGGAGAGCAUUGCAGCAUGUUGUGAGCUAGGUAUUUGACCUAAAUUUCUUUCUUCACUAUAGCCUUACUGAAGAUAGCAUCCUUUCUCUGGUUUCUCUGGAUCAUAGUGCUUCACAUCUGACAGACAUCUAUAGCUAUGUCAAAUAGAAGAGUUAGUGAUGUGCUAGUUUGUCAUACAUGAGUUAUGAAGGAGUUUGAAUUCUUUUGUAAACUACUGGGCUGCUAUAUUUAUUUGUUGAGGUCAUGAAAAUUAAGAAUUAGAAAACAUAUUUGAGCCAAUCAACAAAUAUCAUAUCUUUUUAAAAUAGCUUGUGUAAAGAAGACUUGAAGAGUUUAAACUCGGUGCACAGCUGGCCACUAGUCGAUUGUAGAUUCUCAGUCUGCUUCCCUAGCUGGCUUAGAACUCACUCUGUAGACCAAGAUGGUCUUGAACUUACAGAGACUUGCCUGUCUCGGCUCCUGAGUGCUGAGAGUUAAAGGUCCUUCACUAUGCUUGGCCUAUAAAGAGAUUUCUGUGCUAGAUGAACCAUCCUUUAGAAAGCUUGAAGGGAAAGUCUUACUUUCUCUAGUCUUAAAUCUUACACCUUUUCCUCCUGUAUUCUCCAUUGUAAACCUGGGACUACCCCACAUUUGUGUGUGAUUUGAGUCACCAUUUUUACUUCCCAGUGACAUGUUUCAGACAAAUUGCCCCCCCCCAACCCUUAAGUUUAGUUUAGAAUGAGCUAGGUAUGGUGGCACAUGCCUUUAAUCCCAGAACUCAGGAGGUAGAGGCAGGCAGGUCUCUAGGAGUUCUAGGCCACUGUGGUUUAGAGUUCCAGGACAGCAAGGGCCACAUAGAGAGAUCUUGUCUCAAAAAACAAAACAAAAUGG